GAUGAACGCCGGCGGUGUGCCUAAUACAUGCAAGUCGUACGCACUGGCCCAACUGAUUGAUGGUGCUUGCACCUGAUUGACGAUGGAUCACCAGUGAGUGGCGGACGGGUGAGUAACACGUAGGCAACCCGCCCCGGAGCGGGGGAUAACAUUUGGAAACAGAUGCUAAUACCGCAUAACAACAAAGGUCACAUGGCUUUUGUUUGAAAGAUGGCUUUGGCUAUCACUCUGGGAUGGACCUGCGGUGCAUUAGCUAGUUGGUAAGGUAACGGCUUACCAAGGCGAUGAUGCAUAGCCGAGUUGAGAGACUGAUCGGCCACAAUGGAACUGAGACACGGUCCAUACUCCUACGGGAGGCAGCAGUAGGGAAUCUUCCACAAUGGGCGCAAGCCUGAUGGAGCAACACCGCGUGAGUGAAGAAGGGUUUCGGCUCGUAAAGCUCUGUUGUUGGAGAAGAACGUGCGUGAGAGUAACUGUUCACGCAGUGACGGUAUCCAACCAGAAAGUCACGGCUAACUACGUGCCAGCAGCCGCGGUAAUACGUAGGUGGCAAGCGUUAUCCGGAUUUAUUGGGCGUAAAGCGAGCGCAGGCGGUUGCUUAGGUCUGAUGUGAAAGCCUUCGG
rnacentral:rRNA from 1 species